CGGACGGGUGAGUAACACGUGGAUAACCUACCUAUAAGACUGGGAUAACUUCGGGAAACCGGAGCUAAUACCGGAUAAUAUUUUGAACCGCAUGGUCCAAAAGUGAAAGACGGUCUUGCUGUCACUUAUAGAUGGAUCCGCGCUGCAUUAGCUAGUUGGUAAGGUAACGGCUUACCAAGGCAACGAUGCAUAGCCGACCUGAGAGGGUGAUCGGCCACACUGGAACUGAGACACGGUCCAG
rnacentral:rRNA from 1 species